GAAAUGCGAUAAGUAGUGUGAAUUGCAGAAUUCAGUGAAUCAUCGAAUCUUUGAACGCACAUUGCGCCCCUUGGUAUUCCAUGGGACAUGCCUGUUCGAGCGUCAUCUACACCCUCAAGCUCUGCUUGGUGUUGGGCGUCUUUGUCCCGCCUCCGCGCGCGGACUCGCCCCAAAUUCAUUGGCAGCGGUCCUUGCCUCCUCUCGCGCAGCACAUUGCGCUUCUCGAGGUGUUGCGGCCCGCGUCCAGAAAGCAAUCGUUACCGUCUUUGACCUCGGAUCAGGUAGGGAUACCCGCUGAACUUAAGC
rnacentral:misc_RNA from 1 species